UAACGCGAAGAACCUUACCAGGUCUUGACAUCCUUUGAAGCUUUUAGAGAUAGAAGUGUUCUCUUCGGAGACAAAGUGACAGGUGGUGCAUGGUCGUCGUCAGCUCGUGUCGUGAGACGUUGGGUUAAGUCCCGCAACGAGCGCAACCCUUAUUGUUAGUUGCCAGCAUUCAGUUGGGCACUCUAGCGAGACUGCCGGUGACAAACCGGAGGAAGGCGGGGACGACGUCAGAUCAUCAUGCCCCUUAUGACCUGGGCUACACACGUGCUACAAUGGCGUAUACAACGAGUUGCCAACCUGCGAAGGUGAGCUAAUCUCUUAAAGUACGUCUCAGUUCGGACUGCAGUCUGCAACUCGACUGCACGAAGUCGGAAUCGCUAGUAAUCGCGGAUCAGC
rnacentral:rRNA from 1 species